UGGGGAAUAUUGCGCAAUGGGCGAAAGCCUGACGCAGCGACGCCGCGUGAGGGAUGAAGGUUUUCGGAUCGUAAACCUCUGUCAGAAGGGAAGAAACCGCACUGUGCUAAUCAGCAGUGCCUUGACGGUACCUUCAAAGGAAGCACCGGCUAACUCCGUGCCAGCAGCCGCGGUAAUACGGAGGGUGCAAGCGUUAAUCGGAAUUACUGGGCGUAAAGCGCACGUAGGCUGCUUCGUAAGUCAGGGGUGAAAUCCCACGGCUCAACCGUGGAACUGCCUUUGAUACUGCUUAGCUUGAAUCCGGGAGAGGGUGGCGGAAUUCCAGGUGUAGAAGUGAAAUCCGUAGAUAUCUGGAGGAACAUCAGUGGCGAAGGCGGCCACCUGGACCGGUAUUGACGCUGAGGUGCGAAAGCGUGGGGAGCAAACAGG
rnacentral:rRNA from 1 species